UACGAAGGGGGCUAGCGUUGCUCGGAAUCACUGGGCGUAAAGCGCACGUAGGCGGCUUUCUAAGUCAGGGGUGAAAUCCUGGAGCUCAACUCCAGAACUGCCUUUGAUACUGGAGAGCUUGAGUCCGGGAGAGGUGAGUGGAACUCCGAGUGUAGAGGUGAAAUUCGUAGAUAUUCGGAAGAACACCAGUGGCGAAGGCGACACACUGGGCCAUUACUGACGCUGAGGCGCGAAAGCGUGGAGAGCAAGCAGG
rnacentral:rRNA from 1 species